rnacentral:rRNA from 1 species
UGGGGAAUAUUGCGCAAUGGGGGAAACCCUGACGCAGCCAUGCCGCGUGAGUGAAGAAGGUCUUCGGAUCGUAAAGCUCUUUCAACGGUGAAGAUGAUGACGGUAGCCGUAGAAGAAGCCCCGGCUAACUUCGUGCCAGCAGCCGCGGUAAUACGAAGGGGGCAAGCGUUGUUCGGAAUUACUGGGCGUAAAGAGUUCGUAGGCGGACUAGCAAGUUAGAGGUGAAAUCCCAGGGCUCAACCUUGGAACUGCCUUUAAAACUGCUAGUCUAGAGACCGGAAGAGGUUAGGGGAAUACCUAGUGUAGAGGUGAAAUUCGUAGAUAUUAGGUGGAACACCAGUGGCGAAGGCGCCUAACUGGUCCGGUACUGACGCUGAGGAACGAAAGCGUGGGGAGCAAACAGGAUUAGAUACCCUGGUAGUCCACGCCGUAAACGAUGAGUGCUAGAUGUUGGGAUUUUCGGAUUUCAGUGUCGCAGCUAACGCAUUAAGCACUCCGCCUGGGGAGUACGGCCGCA